GACGAACCGUCCUAACGUUGUUCGGAAUCACUGGGCUUAAAGGGCGCGUAGGCGGCUUGUCAAGUCAGGGGUGAAAUCCUGCAGCUUAACUGUAGAAGGGCCUUUGAUACUGAAGAUCUUGAGUUCGGGAGAGGUGAGUGGAACUGCGAGUGUAGAGGUGAAAUUCGUAGAUAUUCGCAAGAACACCAGUGGCGAAGGCGGCUCACUGGCCCGAUACUGACGCUGAGGCACGAAAGCGUGGGGAGCAAACAGG
rnacentral:rRNA from 1 species